AACUCUAAGCGGUGGAUCACUCGGCUCAUGGGUCGAUGAAGAACGCAGCAAACUGUGCGUCAUCGUGUGAACUGCAGGACACAUGAACAUCGACAUUUUGAACGCAUAUCGCAGUCCAUGCUUGUUAUGUACUUUAAUUAAUUUUGAAGUGCUGCUUUGGACUACAUAUGGUUGAGGGUUG
rfam:Drosophila ananassae strain TSC#14024-0371.13 Ctg01_8492, whole genome shotgun sequence.